UCUUCCUCUCUUUUCUUUUCAUUCCUUUUUUCCCUAGAACCCCGUACUUUCUUCUUCUCCUUUUUUUCCUCUUCUCCACCUUAUCGAUCUCCUUCACAGAUUUCAGUCGAUGGCAGCCUAAUCGAUCAGCAGUUGUAGUCCGAACAAUUUUCCCCAUUUCACCAAAACUCUUUCAUUAUUUACUACUUGUUCAUUCUGUUUGAUUGUUUGAUCAAUUGAUCGAUUGAAUAGGGUUUCGAAGGUUUUUUUUUUUUUUUUUUGGUGUUCGGAAAUCUCCAUGUCAAACCCAUCAAGGUCUCAUGUCACUAUAACCCUAGGGCGCGGUACACAGAAUGCGGGGAGAUGGCAGUUCUGCUAAUGCUGUGGACGGUGACAGACUCUUCUUGAGUCCUUAAAAGUUUUAUAUAAUUUCUAUAUCAUUUGUUAAUUUUUGGUGUCUUAUAUGAAAAAAAACAUUUAUCUAAAUAGAGAUGACCUCGGAUUCAAAAUCAUGCAAAAGAAAAUUAUUAAGGUUUAGAAAGGAAUAAUAUUUCUCCUUUUUGCUAGACACUGUUACUUCAUUAUCAUUCCAAUAUAUGUUUAUAUUUUUUGAAUAACUAGAAAUAUGGAAGGGAGUCAAAUGCCAGAUUCAAGGAUCUGGGCUGACGAUCAGAGACUUUAGAAAGGUGUGUUAAACCUGCUUCUGCUCUCAAUCACAUCAGAAUUUCUCAUGGAGAUGUUGUAAGUCUCAUUUUAUCUUUUAGGCUUUCUUUCAAAUUUGCAAUUUAUUGAUAUUGUUUUCGCUUUGCCUUGUAUUGUUGUCUAUAAUUUCAAGUUAGAUAAUUGAUGUUUAGCCGAACCAAACUUACAAUUUCGAGUUAGCUUAUCUUCAUGUUUAGCCGAAUUCUUCUCAACCCCAAAGGAACCAGAAGAUAAGAAGGGGAAAAGACAAUAAGAACAUUACCUGGCUCAUAGGACUUGGCAAGCAAAAACCAGUGCUGGAAUUUCAAGUUGGGAUACUCAAAUGACUUUGGAGUUACAUAAAAUUUUCCCAUGUAAAUGUUCCAUAGUUCAGAGGUAGAUAUAACUUUUUGAGUAGGUUAAUAAUAGAAUUAUUUAGACGAACUCUACAUUUUGGCAUAUUGUAUUGAACCGUAUUUAUUAUUUUUGUUUAUCAGACAUAUAUAAAAUCUGAUUAUAUAUAAUUUGUGUCUUU